GUGCCAGCAGCCGCGGUAAUACCGGCAGCCCAAGUGAUGGCCGAUCUUAUUGGGCCUAAAGCGUCCGUAGCUGGCCGCGCAAGUCCAUCGGGAAAUCCACCCGCCCAACGGGUGGGCGUCCGGUGGGAACUGUGUGGCUUGGGACCGGAAGGCGCGACGGGUACGUCCGGGGUAGGAGUGAAAUCCCGUAAUCCCGGACGGACCACCGAUGGCGAAAGCACUCUGAGAAGACGGCUUCGACAGUGAGGGACGAAAGCCAGGGUCUCGAACCGGAUUAGAUACCCUGGUAGUCC
rnacentral:rRNA from 1 species